AUUGAACGCUGGCGGCAUGCCUUACACAUGCAAGUCGAACAGCAGCACGGGGGCAACCCUGGUGGCGAGUGGCGAACGGGUGAGUAAUGCAUCGGAACGUGCCCAGUAGUGGGGGAUAACCAGUCGAAAGACUGGCUAAUACCGCAUACGACCUACGGGUGAAAGCGGGGGACCGUAAGGCCUCGCGCUAUUGGAGCGGCCGAUGUCUGAUUAGCUAGUUGGCGGGGUAAAGGCCCACCAAGGCGACGAUCAGUAGCUGGUCUGAGAGGACGACCAGCCACACUGGGACUGAGACACGGCCCAGACUCCUACGGGAGGCAGCAGUGGGGAAUUUUGGACAAUGGGCGAAAGCCUGAUCCAGCCAUGCCGCGUGCGGGAAGAAGGCCUUCGGGUUGUAAACCGCUUUUGGCAGGAACGAAACGGCGCGGGCCAAUACCCCGCGCUAAUGACGGUACCUGCAGAAUAAGCACCGGCUAACUACGUGCCAGCCGCCGCCGUAAUAC
rnacentral:rRNA from 1 species